ACAGUAGCCUGAGCAUGCCUGCCUCUGGUCUGACAUGGACUAAGACAUGGAAAUUGCUGUUUCCAUGGCUCAAAGGAGACGAGCCACAAUUCCUUGCAAGACAGAAUCUCCCAGCAGGAAUUCACUUGGACUCCCUGAGUGUAGUGGAAGCCUGUGUGCAAAGCAGCUUUCUCUCUGACGAUUCAUCUGCCCUGUUGUAACAGCUUCCUCCUAAGAUUUUUCCAGUCACCUUCAGAAUUCUGUGCAUGGACUCAUUAUGAAAAUGGUAGGCUUGACGUAUGAGAAACAGUGAUGAACAUCAGGAGUCAGCCUCCCUUCUCCACAGAUAAGUUGUUUGACUUCGUGUUGUUUCUUCCAAUGGCUACUUUCUUAAUGCACACCCACUAGCAUGCACGCAUCUUCAACAUAUAUUCCAGCAGCCUAUCACUACCCAAUGGAGCUUCUCUUCAUACAUACAUUCACCCACCUAUUAGUCCCUUUACCCACUCAUCCACCUCCUCUACUACCAAUAUAUCCACCCAUCCAUCCACCCAUCCAUCCAUCCAUCCAUCCUUCUGCUCAUCUGUCCAUCACCCACCCACUCAUCCAUCCAUCUAUUCAAUGUAUAUUUAUUGAGCUCCCACAAUGUGCUGCUACACUGGAGGGAAGGAGUGCACGAGGUAAGCACACCUCUAAUUUUGCAAACUUUGGGUUAGUGGAAGGGAAAAGACAACAUAACUCCCCAGCUAUGAAGCGCCACAUUCAAAUAAUCUUAUACACUCAUCGUUUCCCUUCAAAAUAUUUCCUCAACCUCCCGAUAGAGAACGGGAUGGGAGACAGGGAGGUAGACAUUGCUGUCAGCUAGUUUGGUUUGGCAAACCUGUAAUCAUCUCCCUAGUAAUUUCCCUCAAGCGUCUAACAUGCCCUGAGAUGACCGUUUGUUUCCUUGUUCAGUUGAUGGUCUUCCCUUAUUCCAUGAGGUUGAAAGCUCUGGGAAAAGCUGAUCUGUGUCUAGCUUGUUCACCCCAUGCUCCUAAUACCAAACAGAGUCCCUAGAACCACUACUCCUCCAGUGUGGAGUGGAGUACCACCAUAUUUGCUGAGCCAAAGAAUGGCUACCUCCAACCACCCCGCCCGGCCCCUCCUGUCAAACAUUAUGAAGGCAGGAACACUAGACUCACUCUGAGCUCAGUUUUUAUAAAUGUGCCCACCCAGAGGAUAUUGCUAUUGUUUUGUGUUGUAAUCAUUCUAAGUGCCCGUCUAUUACCUAGCUAAUCCUUAGGUUUGGGAGAGAAGUCUAAUUCAUUUUAAUAAUUUAAUCA